rnacentral:rRNA from 1 species
AACGAACGCUGGCGGCAUGCCUAACACAUGCAAGUCGAACGAGACCUUCGGGUCUAGUGGCGCACGGGUGCGUAACGCGUGGGAACCUGCCCUUAGGUUCGGAAUAACUCCCCGAAAGGGGUGCUAAUACCGGAUAAUGUCUUCGGACCAAAGAUUUAUCGCCUUUGGAUGGGCCCGCGUUGGAUUAGCUGGUUGGUAGGGUAAAAGCCUACCAAGGCGACGAUCCAUAGCUGGUCUGAGAGGAUGAUCAGCCACACUGGGACUGAGACACGGCCCAGACUCCUACGCGAGGCAGCAGUGGGGAAUAUUGGACAAUGGGCGAAAGGCUGAUCCAGCAAUGCCGCGUGAGUGAUGAAGGCCUUAGGGUUGUAAAGCUCUUUUACCCGGGAUGAUAAUGACAGUACCGGGAGAAUAAGCACCGGCUAACUCCGUG